rnacentral:lncRNA from 1 species
GCCCUGAGCCGAUAGAUGAAGAUGCGAAGGUCAGACUUCUACUGUCUAGAAGGUUCCGAUAAAAAGUUUUCGUAUACUCAAUUCUUCUGCUGCUUAUUAUUAAUUUCAGCACUUUUAUUCAAAUAUAUUACUGUUUAUUUUUUAAAUUAACUUUAGCAUUAAAAAAUACUUUUCAACACCUAAUGUUUAUUAUCUACUCUAAAUCAGCUAAACCAAACGAGCUCCUUAUGUAUUGAACACAAUAGCUGAUAUGGCCACAAAAAAAGAGUGUACUUCACCGCUCUUAAGCGUGUAAAUGGAUCUGAAAUUAUAUUUUUCCUUCUUUUCUACAACAACAACUACCCAGUAUACUCCCACCAGGUGGGGUGUGGGGAUAUUUUUCCUUCUUUUCUAUUUAAACAAAAACCCCUUUUUUCUAAAGCUACCGUUUCACCACCUUAUUAACUCCAUAACUGUCGCUCCUCCGCCACUAGUUCCACCAUUCUCCUUCGCUCUUUUUUCUCCUCACACCAGCCUUCACCCUUUCCCUUCCUCCUCCCUGUCCCUUCCCUCCUUACAUGAAACGGAGAGGAAAGGAGAUUAAAAAGUAGAGACGGAGAACAAGUUGACCCAGGAGGUUGAAUUGAUGAGAUAUUAAAAAUGAUAAGAAAUUGGAUCAAAGAAAAUUGAUGAAGUAUGAGCUGACGGAGAAGACGAUGAUGGAAAAAUUUCCGACCAUGAAGCUCUGCAAAUUUUUCAUGAACUUCAAAUUAUUUUUUGUCUUCAGAUAAUUUUUAGUCAAUGGAAUCAACCUCAUACUCGUCAAUAUGCUGCAGAACUUGAAAGAAAUCAGAUUCCAUAGAAGACUCUCCCAAAUACUCGCGUUUAAACAGAUGGAAUGAAACCCAUUUCUCUUUCUCUUUUUUCUUUUUCUAGAUUUUCCACUUUUCUUUUUCUUACUUGUCUUUUGUUAGGUCAAUGGCAAGUCGCUUCACGCUUUGAAAUCCGUUUGGAGUUAUAAAAAAAAGUGUUUAAUAGGUAUACGUGUUUAAUAGGUAAUAGCCUAAGUUAAGGUGUCAAAAUAAAAAUUGGAGAUUUUCUACUAUUAUUUUUAGUAUGGAAUGAGUCAAUCAUGUUAUUGAACAAAAAUGAUAAUAGAAUUUUGAUUUUUG